UAUCCUACAUGCGUGUCAAGUAUCCUACUUUUUUGGAACAGCAAAACUUUCACUUUUUCCUAAAGCGUAAUAUGGUACUAAUACUUUCCGGUUGUUGCUAGAAACCUAAAACCACCUCUUAAAUUUUACUGCGGCUGUUAUCUCCUAAAAACUACCUAUCUCUUUUUCUAUUCCAGCUCCAUGGCUGCACCACCACCUCCGUCUGUUUUUGUUUAUUGAACUUAAAAUCAAAAUCAAUAUCUAAUCAUAUCCCUCAAACAAUUGCUCAGGUUCAUUGAUUAUGAUUUUUUUAUGGUACUGUUAACUUUUCCGCUGUCAAAGAAUUUGUUUGAGCAGGAUCUGUGAGUCUGAUUUAUCCUUCUACAUUACCAGUUUUCUACGGUUGAAUCAACGAAUGCAAAAAUGAAGACGCAUAGUAUUUCAAAUUGGAUGGAUUCGAGAAAUCGGGUGUGACUCAGUCACUGAGUUGAUAAAAGCUUAAGAAACCUCUGCUAGCUCUAUUUUUUUUAGAUCUGAAAUGAUUCAAAUUAACUGAAUUAAGAGAGAACGAAGGAAGAGAUAGGUGGUUUUUAAAAUUUGUUGGUGAUGGUAUUGGUUACGGUUUCUAACGGUGGUGAUGGUGCUCCUGGAAUUGACGGAGGUGAAGGAAGAGGCCGGUGGUGGUGACAAUUGAAGAAGAUGAACCUGAAUUUUGAGAAUGUAAUGGUGGUGGUGGUGUUGUUUCCUUGCUGGGGUGUAAUGGUUUGUGUAUGAUGUUUAGGUGGUGCUGUUGGUCACGAGGGAGGUGGUGGUGGUGAAGGAAUAGUGUAGCAGAGAUGGUGGUGAAGGUGAGGAAUUACAGAGAAACCGAGAGGAGGGA